GGGGUUGUGGCUCAGUGGUAGAGUGCUCACCUAGCCAUGUGAGGCAGAAGUUCGAUCCUCAGCACCA
rnacentral:tRNA from 1 species